CGAACGCUGGCGGCGUGCUUAACACAUGCACGUCGAACGGAAAGGCCCCUUUGGGGGUACUCGAGUGGCGAACGGGUGAGUAACACGUGAGUAACCUGCCCUUGACUUCGGGAUAACUUCAGGAAACUGGGGCUAAUACCGGAUAGGAAUCCUUGCUGCAUGGUGGGGGUUGGAAAGCUUCGGCGGUUUUGGAUGGACUCGCGGCUUAUCAGCUUGUUGGUGGGGUAGUGGCUUACCAAGGCUUUGACGGGUAGCCGGCCUGAGAGGGCGACCGGCCACAUUGGGACUGAGAUACGGCCCAGACUCCUACGGGAGGCAGCAGUGGGGAAUAUUGCACAAUGGGCGGAAGCCUGAUGCAGCAACGCCGCGUGCGGGAUGACGGCCUUCGGGUUGUAAACCGCUUUCAGCAGGGGCGAAGCUUGUGGUGACGGUACCUGCAGAAGAAGCACCGGCUAACUACGUG
rnacentral:rRNA from 1 species